rnacentral:rRNA from 1 species
UACGUAGGCAGCGAGCGUUGUUCGGAAUUACUGGGCGUAAAGAGUGUGUAGGCGGUGUUCCCAGUCUGUUGUGGAAAUCUCCCGGCUUAACUGGGAGGGUGCAGCGGAAACUAGAAUGCUAGAGGGUGGGAGAGGUAAGCGGAAUUCCUGGUGUAGCGGUGAAAUGCGUAGAUAUCAGGAGGAACACCUGUGGUGUAGACAGCUUACUGGACCACUUCUGACGCUGAGACACGAAAGCGUGGGUAGCAAACAGG